rnacentral:lncRNA from 1 species
CAGGAAAAACCUGAAGAUAGGCCAUUCAUGUCUUCUGUUGUGUUCAAUUUGGAGAAUGGGUGCCCAACACUACCAGCGCCAAAUCACCCUGCAUAUUUUGCACAAAGAAAUUGUGAUAUGGUGCAAAUGAGAGAAGAUAUUAUGAACUCUAUGAACACAGUGACUCUUACAGCAAUAGAGGGGAGAUAGAUUAACCCUUAAAUUUUUAGUCAUAAAAUAUUUGUUUAGGUCAAUUCUAUGAACUUAUAAUUUGCUUUUUUUUAGUACUAAUCUUGAAAUACAGUGUGCUGCUACCUUUUCCCUACUAGUAUGGUACAAAAGCUUUGUUUGGAAACCAGAAGUAGCCUGAAUGAAAUAAUAUUAAACAGAUACAUGCAGCUCAAAACAUCCCGUUGAGAUGAUACUGAUAAAGAAAGCGUAAGGUUUGUAAAACAGAACCUUUACCUAGUAUAAUGGCAGCCUGGCAGGGGAUAGGAUUGUUGCUUGCCAUUGAGCCGAGGUCAUCAUCGUUCACCAGCAGAAGCAAUCGCAUAACCCGCUAUCGCUUGCCGGCACGCAGGGACAAGAGACCGGUGGUGUGAAACUGUGAACUGGUGCAGCCAGUGGAUGCAGAGCGCGGGAAUGGGUGCGGCGUAGGCAUUCUGUCGAACAGGUGGAAGGCUUUCCGCGAGCACGCAGGCGAGGCGGAAGACUAGCCGAAGCCACCGAUGAUGAGAAAGUGGGCAGUUGGGCACGCAGCUUGAUAUCGGUCGCUCACACUUUCGUCUCCUCUGCAUUGGCGUCCGGCUGGCGAAGGCGGAACCUGGGAUCUCAGGGAGACUCAGGGUUGUCGCCUUGUCGGACUCCGAGACUCGGACAUAGGAGGACGACGCGCGCUGCGGGAGAAAUUC